rnacentral:rRNA from 1 species
CAGUCGCCGCGGUAAUACGUAGGGUGCAAGCGUUAAUCGGAAUUACUGGGCGUAAAGCGUGCGCAGGCGGUUAUAUAAGACAGAUGUGAAAUCCCCGGGCUCAACCUGGGAACUGCAUUUGUGACUGUAUAGCUAGAGUACGGCAGAGGGGGAUGGAAUUCCGCGUGUAGCAGUGAAAUGCGUAGAUAUGCGGAGGAACACCGAUGGCGAAGGCAAUCCCCUGGGCCUGUACUGACGCUCAUGCACGAAAGAGUGGGGAGCAAACAGGAUUAGAUACCCCUGUAGUCCCUGUCUCUUAUAC